UUACUGCAUGAAUACUAAUUAUACUAUCAAUAACUGGUUUUUAUUCAAAUUACGAAUGACUCGCGGCGGUCACUCGCCUUCCAGUUUUCUACGGCUGGCAUUUCCGAACCUUACCUUAUCGAGCGUGGCUCUUAUCUGGCUCACCGGACAAACUGCGAAAUACUGGAGCCGCAAUUCGAACAAAUCAAAAUGGCCGCACUUACUCAUAGUGGAAGCUUAAAGCUUUCGAAACCGCGGUGCACAAAGUCCAAAAGAUUCACAACCCGCAUUAAACCGCAAAAUCUGUGGACUGAUCAGCUGAUGAAAUAAAAGAAAUCAAAGAAACCGAAAAUGCGCAGGAUUCCCUCAAAUCAUUCGAUGUAAAAUGCAAAUCUAGGUGCCAAUCAGGAGGUCGUCAAUGCGACUUUUCGUGAGGAAGUCGCCACCGCCCAUCGGCGGACGGGCGGAGACAUCCUCCAGGAAAUUUGUCUGUUAUCUUGCCCUGAAUCGCGGCCCGUACCCGUCCUUUGAGCUCUCUGUGUAGGCUGCAGAAUCGUAUCUCGUUGCGCCAGUCACGAGUCAGCAGCACUCAGCAUUCCCUCGUAUGUACUCUGCUUUUUACGGUAAUUUUAGCUUUGUCAAAUUGUCAUUUUUCUCACCUUUUUUACCUUGUAAUUUCUGGCCGUUCUGAGUUUUUUCCUUUCUGCAAUAUCUAAAUGCAGCCUAUCCUAAUGGAGUCUGAUACUGAUAUUCCAGUUCAAGUCUGGACCCAAGAGCACGUCGCUGCUCAGAAGCCUGUGCGAUUCAAACUCGAAUGGUCUGUGGACAACAUUUCCGAACCGGAGCAGCUGGACUCUUUGGGAACGAUCCAUUCAAACGCUAUCUUGUUGUCGGAUCUCGGUUUCAAGGACUGCACUGGCCGUUGGCGCCUGGAUUUAAACUUUUGCAGCAAGGAUGAGGAAUCCAAACAGGCAGACGAGAAGUACUUGUCUGUUCAUUUAUCCCUGCUUGAUGAAGCACAAGAAAUCUUUGCCAAAUUUAAAUUUAGUUUACGCCGAGGACUGUCAGCGAUAGUUGAACAAAAUUGGCUGACCGACCCGAAAGCGUACCCUUUCGGGAAGAACGGCGAUACAUGGGGCUACGAUACUUUCUGCAGACGGGAGGAUAUUUUUGUGCGACGACGUAACUGCGCACUGAGCGGCGAUGCGAUUACCAUUACGGCCGAUGUCAUUAUGUACCGUCAGCAGACACGGUUAGAGCCUGUUCACAUCUCCAGAGGAUCCCCUUGGCAGCUCCAGUGCCAGUGUGGACGGUGUUGUGGUGCAGCCACAAGAAAUAGCCGCGCAACAUUCCAGCCGGCUUAACCGAGCAAUGCAACGUCAGUUACAAUUUCUCAAGUCGUCCGCUCAUGAGCAUGGCAGUAACUUUUGCCUGGAAUCCAGUGACGGUGUGACCUUUCAUGCUGACCGUUUCGUUUUGAUGGCGCAUUCGCCGGUCUUCGCAGCCAUGUUGUCGCAUGGAACAGUGGAAAAAUCAUCCGGGCGAUGUCGAGUACCAGACGUUGAGGGAGAGACUAUGACGGUUUUGUUGGAGUUUUUCUACGGAUGUGAAUAUGGGAAAGUUUGCAGCGAUAACGCCGAAAAGGUUUUGGCUGCCGCGGAUAAGUAUCAAGUUGUUGAUCUGCGAUCGGUCUGUGAAGGCAUCCUGGCAGCCAGCGUGUCCAUCACGAACGCAGCCCAUUAUUUGGUUGUCGCUGACCAACGACGCUUGGACACUCUGAUGCA